rnacentral:rRNA from 1 species
AGUGAACGCUGGCGGCGUGCUUAACACAUGCAAGUCAAACGAGAACGGAAUAUAGCUUGCUAUAUUUGUCAGCUAAGUGGCGCACGGGUGAGUAAUGUAUAGAUAACCUGCCCUUAAGAAAGGAAUAACAGUUGGAAACGACUGCUAAUGCCCUAUAUGCCUUUAAUACAUAAGUAUGCAAGGGAAACGCUUUAGUGCUUAAGGAUGGGUCUGUAUGGUAUCAGCUUGUUGGUGAGGUAAUGGCUCACCAAGGCUAUGACGCCUAACUGGUUUGAGAGGAUGAUCAGUCACACUGGAACUGAGACACGGUCCAGACUCCUACGGGAGGCAGCAGUGGGGAAUAUUGCACAAUGGACGAAAGUCUGAUGCAGCAACGCCGCGUGGAGGAUGACACAUUUCGGUGCGUAAACUCCUAUUAUAUAGGAAGAUAAUGACGGUACUAUAUGAAUAAGCACCGGCUAACUCCGUGCCAGCAGCCGCGGUAA